rnacentral:rRNA from 1 species
ACGGGAGGCAGCAGUAAGGAAUAUUGGACAAUGGAGGCAACUCUGAUCCAGCCAUGCCGCGUGAAGGAAGACGGCCUUAUGGGUUGUAAACUUCUUUUAUACAGGAAGAAACCUUUCCACGUGUGGAAAGUUGACGGUACUGUAAGAAUAAGGAUCGGCUAACUCCGUGCCAGCAGCCGCGGUAAUACGGAGGAUCCAAGCGUUAUCCGGAAUUAUUGGGUUUAAAGGGUCCGCAGGCUGUUUGUUAAGUCAGAGGUGAAAUCCUACCGCUCAACGGUAGAACUGCCUUUGAUACUGGCAAACUUGAGUUAUUGUGAAGUAGUUAGAAUGUGUAGUGUAGCGGUGAAAUGCAUAGAUAUUACACAGAAUACCGAUUGCGAAAGCAGAUUACUAACAAUAUACUGACGCUGAGGGACGAAAGCGUGGGUAGCGAACAGGAUUAGAUACCCUGGUAGUCCACGCCGUAAACGAUGGUCACUAGCUGUUCGAUGUACAUUGGUACGUUGAGUGGCUAAGCGAAAGUGAUAAGUGACCCACCUGGGGAGUACGCUCGCAAGAGUGAAACUCAAAUGAAUUGACGG